rnacentral:rRNA from 1 species
CUUACACAUGCAGUCGAGCGGUAGCACGGAGAAACUUGUUUCUUGGGUGACGAGCGGCGGACGGGUGAGUAACGCGUAGGAAUCUACCUAGUAGAGGGGGACAACAUGUGGAAACGCAUGCUAAUACCGCAUACGCCCUAAGGGGGAAAGGAGGGGACUCUUCGGAGCCUUCCGCUAUUAGAUGAGCCUGCGUGAGAUUAGCUAGUUGGUAGGGUAAAGGCCUACCAAGGCGACGAUCUCUAACUGGUCUGAGAGGAUGACCAGUCACACUGGGACUGAGACACGGCCCAGACUCCUACGGGAGGCAGCAGUGGGGAAUAUUGGACAAUGGGCGCAAGCCUGGUCCAGCCAUGCCGCGUGUGUGAAGAAGGCCUUAGGGUUGUAAAGCACUUUCAGGGGUGAGGAAGGGCGUUUGGUUAAUACCCAGAUGUCUUGACGUUAGCCCCAGAAGAAGCACCGGCUAACUCUGUGCCAGCAGCCGCGGUAAUACAGAGGGUGCAAGCGUUAAUCGGAAUUACUGGGCGUAAAGCGCGCGUAGGUGGUUUGUUAAGUCGGAUGUGAAAUCCCAGGGCUCAACCUUGGAAUGGCACCCGAUACUGGCAGGCUAGAGUAUGGUAGAGGGGUGUGGAAUUUCCUGUGUAGCGGUGAAAUGCGUAGAUAUAGGAAGGAACAUCAGUGGCGAAGGCGACACCCUGGACUAAUACUGACACUGAGUGCGAAAGCGUGGGGAGCAAACAGGAUUAGAUA